rnacentral:tRNA from 1 species
GAGCGCGUGGCUCAAUGGUAGAGCGUUUGACUAAAAUAUAAAAGGUCGCGGGUUCGAAUCCCAGGUGUUCC